rnacentral:lncRNA from 1 species
UAUUUACUUGUGAGGAGUUGCAGUACUCUACUUUUAGUGAAUUAGAAAACCAACUCUGUGACAAGGACAACAACGAAAUGGAUGUUACAGACUUCCAUGGCUUAGAACAAGCAUUGAACAACAUUGGCUGGGAUAAAACACCAGACUACCUCAAACCUAUUGCGACCCGAAUCGAAAAUGUUCGUGGAAAAGCUACCGAUUUUUGCUAUAACGUUAUUCAAGUUCAGGUCUGUGCCGCAAUCAAAGAGAUGGAAGAGGUAUCAAUUAAGGAAUUAAACCGGGACACAUUGAAAAAAUGGGCAGCGACACUCAACCAGGCUAAGGGAUUUGGUUUUGAAGUGGGAUU